CUUAAUUAUGAUGUUUUAUCCACAAUGGGACUUGAUAAAUCCCCACUUAGAAAUUACUGUAUUUUCUAUUGGUAAAAUUAUUUAUCUGCUGAUAUCAGUGUAUUUGUUGAGAUUUUCAUCUACAUUCCUGAAUGUUGUGUCUGGGGUACAGUACAUUUAAAUGUAGAGAAAAUUUUAGUGAUGUUGCAGAAUUCUUCGAGAAAGUAACUGCUGUAUGUCUUGCAUGUGCUAAGGAAAAAGCUAGGAUGAACACUGCUGAUAAUUUUGCUUUUCUGAAAUUCCUCAGGAAUGCAGUUGAAAUUCUCAACAAAUUCUUGAUACCCUAAAGCAGAUUAAAACUACAGAUGAAUUAUUUUUUACCAACAGGUUAUACCACCACCACUGUCACUUCAUUCAGAAGUGCAGGAUAAGUGUCGCUUUGCUAAUAUUGAAAAGAAAAUUAUCCAGGACUUUGCUAGAUCCACUACAUCACCUGUGUAAUAUGUGAUAAAGCCUCCAAAAACUGAUGGCCUCAAUUUUUCUGGAUAUGUGCCAAUGAACAAGGUGCAAGUGACUUAUUCACGUAGUAAUGGACCAGGUGGACAAAUGUCAAUAAAAUUAAUACCAAAGUUGAUCUGCGACUUCAGGUGACUACAGCUGAUUGGCUCUCUCCUGAGCUAAAAGAAAG